rnacentral:rRNA from 1 species
CAGUAGCCGCGGGAAUACAGAGGGUGCGAGCGUUAAUCGGAUUUACUGGGCGUAAAGCGUGCGUAGGCGGCUUUUUAAGUCGGAUGUGAAAUCCCUGAGCUUAACUUAGGAAUUGCAUUCGAUACUGGGAAGCUAGAGUAUGGGAGAGGAUGGUAGAAUUCCAGGUGUAGCGGUGAAAUGCGUAGAGAUCUGGAGGAAUACCGAUGGCGAAGGCAGCCAUCUGGCCUAACACUGACGCUGAGGUACGAAAGCAUGGGGAGCAAACAGGAUUAGAUACCCGUGUAGUCCCUGUCUCUUAUAC